rnacentral:rRNA from 1 species
GACGAACGCUGGCGGCGUGCUUAACACAUGCAAGUCGAACGGCAAGGCACUGAUAUUGUGGGGUGCUCGAGUGGCGAACGGGUGCGUAACACGUGAGUAACCUGCUCUUGUCUUUGGGAUAACUUCAGGAAACUGGGGCUAAUAUCGGAUCGGAGAUCCUGCUGCAUGGAGGGGGUUGGAAAGUCUCGGCGGUUGGGGAUGGAUGCGCGGAUUAUCGGCUUGUUGGUGGGGUAGUGGAUUACCAAGGCUUUGACGGGUAGCCGGCCGGUGAGGGUGACCGGCCUCAUGGGGACUAAGAGACGGCGCAGACUGCUACAGGAGGCAGCAGUGGGGAAUAUUGCACAGUGGGCGGGAGCCGGAUGCAGCGGCGCCGCGUUCGUGAUGACCGCCUUCUGGUAGUAAACCGCUUCCGCCUGUUACGAAGCGUUAGUGACGGUAAUGGGAGAAUAAGCACCGGCUAACUACGUG